UAAUACGUAGGGGGCAAGCGUUGUCCGGAAUCAUUGGGCGUAAAGAGCGCGUAGGCGGCCAGAUAAGUCCGGUGUGAAAGUCCCAGGCUCAACCUGGGAAUGCCGCCGGAAACUGUCUGGCUAGAGUCCGGAAGGGGCCAGUGGAAUUCCCGGUGUAGCGGUGAAAUGCGCAGAUAUCGGGAGGAACACCAAUGGCGAAGGCAGCUGGCUGGGACGGUACUGACGCUGAGGCGCGAAAGCGUGGGGAGCGAACAGGAUUAGAUACCCUGGUAGUCCACGCUGUAAACGAUGGGCACUAGGUGUGGGAGGUGUCGACUCCUCCCGUGCCGCAGCUAACGCAUUAAGUGCCCCGCCUGGGGAGUACGGCCGCAAGGCUA
rnacentral:rRNA from 1 species